rnacentral:rRNA from 1 species
AUUGAACGCUAACGGCGUGCUUAACACAUGCAAGUCGAGCGGCAGCAUGACUGUAGCAAUACAGUUGAUGGCGAGCGGCGGACGGGCGAGUAAUGUAUAGGAAUCUGCCUUGUAGUGGGGGAUAACCCGGGGAAACUCGGGCUAAUACCGCAUAAUCUCUACGGCGCAAAGUGGGGGACCUUCCGGCCCUACGCUAAAAGAUGAGACGAUGUUGGAUUAGCUAGUUGGUAGGGUAAAAGCCAACCAAGGCAACGAUCCAUAGCUGGUCUGAGAGGAUGAUCAGCCACACUGGGACUGAGACACGGCCCAGACUCCUACGGGAGGCAGCAGUGGGGAAUAUUGGACAAUGGGCGAAAGCCUGAUCCAGCAACGCCGUGUGUGUGAAGAAGGCCUUCGGGUUGUAAAGCACUUUAGUGGGAAAGAAAAGUUCAUGGCUAAUAUCCAUGAAUGCUGACGUUACCCACAGAGAAAGCACUGGCUAACUCUGUGCCAGCAGCCGCCGUAA